UGCGGAAUGGUGUAAUGGUAGCACAACAGACUCUGACUCUGUUUGUAGGGGUUCGAAUCCCUUUUCCGUAG
rfam:Lachnospiraceae bacterium 2_1_46FAA genomic scaffold aclXT-supercont-complete, whole genome shotgun sequence.